CCUACGGGUGGCAGCAGUGAGGAAUAUUGGUCAAUGGACGAGAGUCUGAACCAGCCAAGUAGCGUGAAGGAUGACUGCCCUAUGGGUUGUAAACUUCUUUUAUAUGGGAAUAAAAUGUUCCACGUGUGGGAUUUUGUAUGUCCCAUAUGAAUAAGGAUCGGCUAACUCCGUGCCAGCAGCCGCGGUAAUACGGAGGAUCCGAGCGUUAUCCGGAUUUAUUGGGUUUAAAGGGGGCGUAGGUGGAUUGUUAAGUCAGUUGUGAAAUUUUGCGGCUCAACCGUAAAAUUGCAGUUGAAACUGGCAGUCUUGAGUACAGUAGAGGUGGGCGGAAUUCGUGGUGUAGCGGUGAAAUGCUUAGAUAUCACGAAGAACUCCGAUUGCGAAGGCAGCUCACUGGACUGCAACUGACACUGAGGCUCGAAAGUGUGGGUAUCAAACAGGAUUAGAUACCCCUGUAGUC
rnacentral:rRNA from 1 species